UCAGAGCGAACGCUGGCGGCAGGCCUAACACAUGCAAGUCGAACGCCCCGUCUAAGGGGAGUGGCGCACGGGUGAGUAACGCGUGGGAAUAUGCCCUUCGGUUCGGAAUAACACAGGGAAACUUGUGCUAAUACCGGAUACGAUCUACGGAUGAAAGAUUUAUCGCCGAGGGAGUAGCCCGCGUAGGAUUAGCUAGUUGGUGAGGUAAUGGCUCACCAAGGCGACGAUCCUUAGCUGGUCUGAGAGGAUGAUCAGCCACACUGGGACUGAGACACGGCCCAGACUCCUACGGGAGGCAGCAGUGGGGAAUUUGGACAAUGGGCGAAAGCCUGAUCCAGCCAUGCCGCGUGAGUGAUGAAGGCCUUAGGGUUGUAAAGCUCUUUCGCCAGGGAAGAUAAUGACGGUACCUGGAAAAGAAGCCUCGGCUAACUCCGUGCCAGCAGCCGCGGUAAGGCGGAGGAGGCUAGCGUUGUUCGGAAUUACUGGGCGUAAAGCGUGCGCAGGUUGUGAGAUCAGUUGGAUGUGAAAGCCCGGGGCUUAACCUCGGAUGUGCAUCCAAUACUGUCUCGCUGGAG
rnacentral:rRNA from 1 species